GAUUUCAACUAAAAGAAGUCAACAACAACAAAGUUGUAUAACUCACAAAGAUCUAUAACUUUUAUGUUUGUCAUUUCAUCAUCCGACAAAGUGUUAGUAACAUUGUUCACAAAAUUUACAUAUCCGUGUUAUAGUUUAUAAAACCAGAUAAGAGAUAUGUGAAUUUUGGUAACGAUAUUACUAUCACUUUGUCGGAUGAAGAAAUGACCAAAAUAAAAGUUACAGAACUUGAUGAGUUAUACAACUUUGUUGAUAAUUUUUUCAGUUGAAAUC
rnacentral:pre_miRNA from 1 species